rnacentral:tRNA from 1 species
GGGCGGUUAGCUCAGUUGGGAGAGCGACUGGUUUACACCCAGUAGGUCGGCGGUUCGAGCCCGUCACCGCCCACCA